GUCGGGGUGGCUCAGCCUGGUUAGAGCGCCUGACUCAUAAUCAGGAGGCCGCGGGCUCAAAUCCCGCCCCCGACA
rnacentral:tRNA from 2 species